AACGAACGCUGGCGGCAGGCUUAACACAUGCAAGUCGAACGGUCUCUUCGGAGGCAGUGGCAGACGGGUGAGUAAUGCAUGGGAAUCUACCGUUCUCUACGGAAUAACUCAGGGAAACUUGUGCUAAUACCGUAUACGCCCUUUUGGGGAAAGAUUUAUCGGAGAAUGAUGAGCCCAUGUUGGAUUAGCUAGUUGGUAGGGUAAAGGCCUACCAAGGCGACGAUCCAUAGCCGGCCUGAGAGGGCGGACGGCCACACUGGGACUGAGACACGGCCCAG
rnacentral:rRNA from 1 species